UAAAAAGUACUUAAUUGGGGGCUUGC
rnacentral:piRNA from 1 species